rnacentral:rRNA from 1 species
AUACGUAGGGGGCGAGCGUUGUCCGGAAUGAUUGGGCGUAAAGGGCGCGUAGGCGGCCCGGUAAGUCUGGAGUGAAAGUCCUGUUUUUAAGAUGGGAAUUGCUUUGGAUACUGUCGGGCUUGAGUGCAGGAGAGGUAAGUGGAAUUCCCAGGGUAGCGGUGAAAUGCGUAGAGAUUGGGAGGAACACCAGUGGCGAAGGCGACUUACUGGACUGUAACUGACGCUGAGGCGCGAAAGUGUGGGGAGCAAACAGGAUUAGAUACCCUGGUAGUCCACACUGUAAACGAUGAAUGCUAGGUGUAGGGGGUAUCGACCCCUUCUGUGCCGCAGUCAACACAAUAAGCAUUCCGCCUGGGGAGUACGGCCGCAAGGUUGAAACUCAAAUGAAUUGACGGGG